rnacentral:lncRNA from 1 species
GGAGAGAGAUGAAGCGGUUCGAGUCCCACCAACGACUCAAAAAAAGAGCAUUCGGUUGGAAGGAUGAGCUCAAGAGCGGGGGAGGGGGUUUUUUUUAUCUUUUUUGUCUUUUCUCCACGUUUCUUUCUCUCACUUUGCUUUGGGAGUUCUGCUUUUGUUUUGGAGUGGAGGAGAAUAGGAAGGGACUGAGGAGAGAAGAAGGGAUGUUGGUUGGUGAGAUAAGAGAAAAAGUGAAAAAAAGGGAAGUAUCCAAGAAGUCUCGAUAGAGUAGUUUUGUCUCCUGAAGUAUGAAUGAGGUGGGCUUUUUACAUUCUUUUUGUGAAUAAAAAAUAUCCAACACAAAACCCCAGCUAUUAUUUGAGCUUCUCUAUUCGGCCGCUUUAAGCCUCCCAUCUGGUUGGGACCCAUGAGACAAAAAAAAAUAGAGAUGAUUUUUUUUUUGCUUCUUUUUUUUUCAUUCAAUUAUCUUUUUUUAGAGAUAUGUCGGAAAAGAGAAUACUUAAGAGAGAUUAAAAAAGAUUUAUCAUGUAUAAAUGAUGUCCAAGAGAUUAUAUUUCAAAGUCAAUCACAAACUUCUUCUGGUGAUCCAUUGUCUAUUAAAAAGAUGAUAAUUCAAGAGAUAAAAUCUAUCGAGUAAGAUUGUCAUGGACAGAUGAUUGAAAUUAUGUAAUACUAAAACUUCA